AGUUGUAAUUUAGAGAAGUGUUACCCGUGCUGGACCGUGUAUAAGUCUCCUGGAAUGGAGCGUCAUAGAGGGUGAGAAUCCCGUCUUUGACACGGACUCCCAGUGCAUUGUGGUGCGCUCUCGAAGAGUCGAGUUGUUUGGGAAUGCAGCUCUAAAUGGGUGGUAAAUUCCAUCUAAAGCUAAAUAUUGGCGAGAGACCGAUAGCGAACAAGUACCGUGAGGGAAAGAUGAAAAGAACUUUGGAAAGAGAGUUAAACAGUACGUGAAAUUGCUGAAAGGGAAACGCUUGAAGUCAGUCGCGUUGGCUAGGGAUCAACCUUGCUUUAGUGAGGCGUACUUCCUAGUUGACGGGUCAGCAUCAGUUUUGAUCACUGGAAAAAGGCUUGGGGAAUGUGGCAUCUCCGGAUGUGUUAUAGCCCCUUGUUGUAUACAGUGACUGGGACUGAGG
rnacentral:rRNA from 1 species